UUCAGAUAAAGAAUAUUGGAUUCCCUGUGAAAAACAAUUUGAAAAAGAUGCCCAAAUUCCAAACCUCACAGAACUGCUUGCUCAUGAACAGAGGAAACAAGCAUCAAUUUUGUGUCAUCAGAUGUGCUCUUUUGACAAGCUUCACAUGAUUUUGUACUCAUGGCAUACGGAACUGGGAGUAAAUGCACAGGUACUGAUAAAGCAAAUUAAAUGGCAAUAGAAACACUGACAUAGUAAUAAGGGCAUAUAUGUUUUCAGAACUUUAUUUUUUUUUCAAAACUGAAGUCCUUUCACCCACAGAAAUGCUAACAGGAUUUAAAAUAAUAUGGUAUCUUCCAUUAAAAGCAUAGCCUGCACUUCUGAAGUCACGGAUCAGUCAAGGAUACCUAACACUGAAGAUGAUGAACAGCAGUGAUGAACCAGAUACAUUUAUAGUUGUGGG